rnacentral:rRNA from 1 species
AGAGCGAACGCUGGCGGCAGGCCUAACACAUGCAAGUCGAGCGCCCCGCAAGGGGAGCGGCAGACGGGAGAGUAACACGUGGGAACGUACCCUUUGGUUCGGAACAACACAGGGAAACUUGUGCUAAUACCGGAUAAGCCCUUACGGGGAAAGAUUUAUUGCCAAAGGAUCGGCCCGCGUCUGAUUAGCUUGUUGGUGAGGUAACGGCUCACCAAGGCUACGAUCAGUAGCUGGUCUGAGAGGAUGAUCAGCCUCACUGGGACUGAGACACGGCCCAGACUCCUACGGGAGGCAGCAGUGGGGAAUAUUGGACAAUGGGCGCAAGCCUGAUCCAGCCAUGCCGCGUGGAUGAUGAAGGCCUUAGGGUUGUAAAGUCCUUUUAACGGGAAGAUAAUGACGGUACCCGUAGAAUAAGCCCCGGCUAACUUCGUGCCAGCAGCCGC